UACGGAGGAUGCAAGCGUUAUCCGGAAUGAUUGGGCGUAAAGAGCUCGUAGGUGGUUUGUCGCGUUGUCCGUGAAAACUCACAACUCAAUUGUGGGCGUGCGGGCGAUACGGGCAGACUGGAGUACUGCAGGGGAGACUGGAAUUCCUGGUGUAGCGGUGGAAUGCGCAGAUAUCAGGAGGAACACCGGUGGCGAAGGCGGGUCUCUGGGCCGAUACUGACGCUGAGGAGCGAAAGCGUGGGGAGCGAACAGG
rnacentral:rRNA from 1 species